rnacentral:RNase_P_RNA from 2 species
CCAGCCGGUCGGACGGCCGCGUGGACAGACGCCGAAAGGUUGUUCGCGAGGAAAGUCCGGGCUCCACGGAAAGACGGUGCCGGAUAACGUCCGGCGGGGGAAACCCCAGGGAAAGUGCCACAGAAAGCAGACCGCCCCGCCUGUUUUUCGGUUCGUUCGCCCCUGAAGCGCUCUGCGCCGGGGAGCGAUGUCGGGAACCGAAAUGCUGGCGGGGCAAGGGUGAAAGGGUGGGGUAAGAGCCCACCGCGUCUCCGGUAACGGCGGCGGCAUGGUAAACCCCACCGGGAGCAAGACCGAAUAGGGACGGCGCGAGGGGAAACUCUCAGGGCUUUUUCCGGCCCGACCGUCCGGGUAGGUUGCUUGAGGCCGAUGGUAACACCGGCCCCAGAGGAAUGGUCGUCACGUUGCGCCGCUUUCGGGCGGCGUGGCCAUACAGAACCCGGCUUACAGACCGGCUGGCGCU